UACGGAGGGUGCAAGCGUUAUCCGGAUUCACUGGGUUUAAAGGGUGCGUAGGAGGGCAGGGAAGUCAGUGGUGAAAUCUCCGGGCUUAACCCGGAAACUGCCGUUGAUACUCUCUGUCUUGAAUAUUGUGGAGGUGAGCGGAAUAUGUCAUGUAGCGGUGAAAUGCUUAGAUAUGACAUAGAACACCAAUUGCGAAGGCAGCUCGCUAAACAUAUAUUGACUCUGAGGCACGAAAGCGUGGGGAUCAAACAGG
rnacentral:rRNA from 1 species